rnacentral:tRNA from 1 species
GGGCCCGUAGCUCAGCUGGUCAGAGCCGGGGACUCAUAAUCCUCAGGUCGCAGGUUCGAGGCCUGCCGGGCCCACCA